GGAGCUUGCUCUUCUUGGAUGAGUUGCGAACGGGUGAGUAACGCGUAGGUAACCUGCCUUGUAGCGGGGGAUAACUAUUGGAAACGAUAGCUAAUACCGCAUAACAAUGGAUGACACAUGUCAUUUAUUUGAAAGGGGCAAUUGCUCCACUACAAGAUGGACCUGCGUUGUAUUAGCUAGUAGGUGAGGUAACGGCUCACCUAGGCGACGAUACAUAGCCGACCUGAGAGGGUGAUCGGCCACACUGGGACUGAGACACGGCCCAGACUCCUACGGGAGGCAGCAGUAGGGAAUCUUCGGCAAUGGGGGCAACCCUGACCGAGCAACGCCGCGUGAGUGAAGAAGGUUUUCGGAUCGUAAAGCUCUGUUGUAAGUCAAGAACGAGUGUGAGAGUGGAAAGUUCACACUGUGACGGUAGCUUACCAGAAAGGGACGGCUAACUACGUGCCAGCAGCCGCGGUAAUACGUAGGUCCCGAGCGUUGUCCGGAUUUAUUGGGCGUAAAGCGAGCGCAGGCGGUUUGAUAAGUCUGAAGUUAAAGGCUGUGGCUCAACCAUAGUUCGCUUUGGAAACUGUCAAACUUGAGUGCAGAAGGGGAGAGUGGAAUUCCAUGUGUAGCGGUGAAAUGCGUAGAUAUAUGGAGGAACACCGGUGGCGAAAGCGGCUCUCUGGUCUGUAACUGACGCUGAGGCUCGAAAGCGUGGGGAGCGAACAGGAUUAGAUACCCUGGUAGUCCACGCC
rnacentral:rRNA from 1 species